GACGAACGCUGGCGGCGUGCUUAACACAUGCAAGUCGAACGGUGAACGAGGGAGCUUGCUCCCUCCGGAUCAGUGGCGAACGGGUGAGUAACACGUGAGCAAUCUGCCCCGAACUCUGGGAUAAGCGUUGGAAACGACGUCUAAUACCGGAUACGACGCGGGAGGGCAUCCUCUCCGCGUGGAAAGAACUUCGGUUCGGGAUGAGCUCGCGGCCUAUCAGCUUGUUGGUGAGGUAACGGCUCACCAAGGCGACGACGGGUAGCCGGCCUGAGAGGGUAACCGGCCACACUGGGACUGAGACACGGCCCAGACUCCUACGGGAGGCAGCAGUGGGGAAUAUUGCACAAUGGGCGCAAGCCUGAUGCAGCAACGCCGCGUGAGGGACGACGGCCUUCGGGUUGUAAACCUCUUUUAGCAGGGAAGAAGCGAAAGUGACGGUACCUGCAGAAAAAGCACCGGCUAACUACGUG
rnacentral:rRNA from 1 species